rnacentral:rRNA from 1 species
AACGAACGCUGGCGGCAUGCCUAACACAUGCAAGUCGAACGAGACCUUCGGGUCUAGUGGCGCACGGGUGCGUAACGUGUGGGAAUCUGCCCUUGGGUUCGGAAUAACUCGCCGAAAGGCGUGCUAAUACCGGAUGAUGUCGUAAGACCAAAGAUUUAUCGCCCAGGGAUGAGCCCGCGUAAGAUUAGGCAGUUGGUGAGGUAAAGGCUCACCAAGCCGACGAUCUUUAGCUGGUCUGAGAGGAUGAUCAGCCACACUGGGACGGAGACACGGCCCAG